GAUGUUAGCUCAGGGCUAAUCUUCCUUAAAAAAAAAAAAUCUCAUCCCAAGGAUGAGAGAAGCCAAGUCUCCCCUCACCUAGGGCUGCAGGAUAGCCUUUCUGUGGCCUGGGCCUUCCUCUCUGGGCCCAUGGGCUGGGCAGGGACCCAGAUGCCAUACUUCACAUCACUUAUUCCACCCCGAGAACUGGUCUUUCUGGUCUCCAUACUCCAGCCAGUGCACAAUACCACUCAAGGUGCCAGAGCAUCAUAUCCGCGUAUCUAAGCCCCAGUCUCUGGAGAUGCUGUUGGGCAGCUCAGUCAGGAGAGAUGCAGUGGGAGAGUCCUGCCACUCCCAUCACUUGACCUGGGUGUAGCUGCUCUGCUGUGCUGGGUGCAGUUUGCUGGUGUUUGGUUGGGCUGAAGCAGCCUUCCCGGUUCACACUGUGUUCAAAUCCCCAUGCCUCCUCCAGCCAAGUUUCCUUUUGCCUCUGCAUGGACCCAUCCUGGGCUUUUGACCAGCACUGAAGUCAGCUGGACUCGGCCUCUCGCACAAAUCAAUGUUGAUGACCCUGAGGACCAGGGUCCUGGGAAAGGGAGAGAGGUCAAGGAGAUGACUAAUGAAAAAGGAGGAAUCAUGACAGGCUUAGCUUCCUCCAGCCAAGAGGAACCUAAUCCUGAUUGGAACCAAGGGGAUGGGCUCCUGAAGAAGACGUGCACUAGAUGCCAACGGUUUCUGUCUGUUCCAGUGUGCCCUAGAGCCGUUAGUGGGAAUGGAGCCAUGGAGAGGGGACAGGAUGCUGGCUUCCUGGGACAGGGCUUGGUAGAAAGGACCUAGGAAUUAUAAGAAUUAGAUUCUAAUUCUGCCUCUGAUGCUUAUUGACCACAUGACUUUGAACAAGUCGAUUCCCAUCAGUUUCUUUAUCUGUAAAUGGAGCAUCUGACAGAUCAGAGGUUCUUACUCUAGUGUAUGCGGACCACCAAUGUGAGCCCCCUGAAAUAGGGUUCCAAACUCCUAUUGAUUAGCACUCUCAAUAUCAAUAAAUACAGUCCCAAUGAUCUAAGUGAACUCAAUUUGAAUAAUUUGGGAACUUUCGCCAUCCCCUUCUGAAAACACAUUCUGAGUUUUUCCAAAUCUGUGCGGGGCCUUCCCCACUUACAAACUUUCAUCCUGUAUUGUUCAGCCAACUUGAGCUUCUCUUGCCAGCAUCCAAGCUCAAAGAGGAGACUGUAGGAUAUCAUCAUAGAAAGAAUCAUAAGGUCAGCAUUAAGUUACUGCAGGAGAAUUCCAGUAAAAUUACAUAGUAUGGGAAUCUGGCUCAUGUCGUCACAAAUAUAUGAUUCUUGCUGAGAUAAGCUGUGGCCGCGAAAUUCCUAUUCAGGAAACAGAAUGUUCCUUUCAGACAAUUUGGCCAUUCCUUCCUCAGAGAAAGCCUAAAUGAAAUAACUACACAGAAGGUAAUAUAAAUAAGAUAGUAACAUCCUUAGCUAAAGGCAGUACAGGGCCCUUCUAAACACAAGCCGGUUAGCACUCGCUUAAGGCAAGCAAUAUUUUUCAAGAAGAAAUGAGUCAUGCUGAUGUCACAAAAGAGAAUGUAAAGCAGCCAGCCUCUUGGGUCAUGUAGUGACUCUCAAUAGGUGAUGGGGGGUGGGGAAGACAGCUUCGGAAGCCCACCUGGCAAAAAAUCCACACUGGGGGCGAGAGAUAAACCGGCACAUUCCCCAGACUGACCCACUAGGCUUCUUUCAUAACUUACUGGCAAUGAGCUGAGGAAGCUGUGAGUCUGGGAGUUAUUGAUUUUCUCUCAUCAUCAAAAUUCCUGCUUUUGGUGAGGGAACCAAUGCCAAGUAAGCACAGAACCUGUCUUCUCUCUGGACCAGAGCAGCUCAUGCCCCUUCAGAAAAACAGGCCUGGUGCAGUGGCAGAGUGAGAGCUCAGCGGCAGUGGGCAGAGAACUUCAGCAGAGUGACAUUUUGGUCAUGAAGCCCAAACGCACUGGCUCUCAACUGCAUCUCUUCUCUGGGGCCUUGGGGUCGGGGCGACUCCUCGUGCUACAGCAGCUGCAGGAAGCGCUGAGUGACAUCACCUCCCCCUAAGCCAAGAAGCCUCCACAAGGUCAGGCCUGGAGGAGCUGUCUUUAGGCAGAGAACACACAAACAAUCUACCUCUUUCCGCCCAGGGGAAUGAGCUCACAGCUCCGGGGAGCACAGCUCUACACGUGUGCCAGGUGGUGACAGGGUUAGUGUGCUAGCACUUCUGACACCCUGCAGGUGCUUCAUUCAUGGGACACCACCCAGUCUGUACCAGAUGGUGGGGUGGGAGAUGGACACCCAGCUCCAGACCUUCCCUCGCUUUAAGUUAUAAGGCCUUUGGGAGACAGACUCGCCCAUUUUCUUGGACUGGGUUGUAUGGAUGUUUGCCCAAUCAGAAUGGGAUAGAUAACUGGAGUAGGGUGGGGAUGGAGAAGAGGUUCUCGAGAGAUUACUCUACAAAUAAAAAUUCCUGGCAAUUGCCUCUCACUUCUAUCACCAACUGUUAUUCUCUGGGUCAUGGAAAUUCCCGUAUUGCUGGCCAUAUGUGGGGAUACAGUGGAAGAGUUCAAGGAAAGCUGAUUGGCUCACCGAUUGGUGAGCAGAGCUAUAUAGAAUGGAAAAGAAGCCCCCACAAUGAGUUGGACAACCUGACCCUAACCUGGGCUCCCCUAUUCUCUACCCUGCUUUUACCAAAGUCAAGAGGCAAAGAGUUCAAAUCCACCCAUAUUUUAGUUCCACGAUAAAUGAGCUCUUGUUGAUGUACAACUCCUAAUACAAUUGGCCUGACCGUACCCUGCUUUCUCAUCACAGAUGGGAAAUGGGCAUGAAUCAAACCAAUGUAUGUCUUUGAAUGCUUCAGAAGAAAAGGUUCCAGUUGGAUGCCCAUGUUUCAAUUCCCUGUAAUUUCCUUAUUUGAAUCUGUUGAGGGCUCAGAAUUUCUGUGUCAAGAGGUGUGCGUUUAUCUGCCUGACGAGAUGAGGUCUCAGGGACCCCCACGUAAGUACCAUAGAAAGACGUACCCUAAAAGGAAGAAUUCCCUUCAAACCUUGAAUACCAGCUAAUCUAAUGACUGAGGCUGGCUGAGGUGGCUUGCUAAGGAAACGAGACGAGGAAGAUGGAAGGGGAGAGAAACAAGGUCAAGUGGAAAGAGGGAGGAAGGAAGAAAGCGAAGGAGGGAGGCAAGGAGAAAAUUGAGCAUGUCAGGGGCCCACUGGGUUUUAUAAAUAAGUCAUGGAAAUAAUGAAACCUCGUUGUUCUGAAAGUGAAAGAGAAUGAAAAAGUCUCCACUGCGCCCCGCUGAUUCGUGCCCUGGUCCAACCAACCUCAAAACUGAGGAGAAGGGGCUGCCAUCUGGGCUUCAGCCUGCAGUCCCGAGGGUCUGUGGGUCAGGGCUGCACCCCAAGUGUGGCUGCUCUGAGGGGCCCCUGGAGGACCCACUGUGUGAGUUCAAAUCACUCCUGCUGCUAGUCAGGAAUGGCCCUCAGGAAGCUGCUUCACUCCGAGGUCAUUCUCUUCAGAAUUUGAUGAGCAAUCCUCAGAAGAAUGGAGGGGGACCAAAGGUUUGAAUCCUGACUCCAAAGGCAAUAUGUUGGCAAGUUUGUUUUUCCUUGGGGCUUAGCAUGUCCUUCAGGAAACUGGGGAGGACAGUGACCUUCUAGGGAAGGUGUCCUGCAAGUGAGGGCCCCAGUCCCUUCAUGGCACACAGAUGCCUGUGCCAGGGCAAAGGAAGAUGCCUGGACCUGAACAAAACAGCUGUCUACCUGCUGUCAACAGCCGGCUCAUGGCAGAACCAGGAAGGGCCGGGGGAGAAUCUGAACACCUCAGCCACAGCCUCAGCGUUCCCCGGGCCAGCACCACCUUCAUCUGUCAGUACCCACCACACUCCGCCCUUGACCCGCUCAUCCGUGAGGCAGCUGUCCCUAAGCAAGUUCAGUCCACGGCUUGCUUUCAUGAAGGCUUCAAGGCUUUCUGUAUACUUUUCUCACCCCUAAGCAGAACAAAACAGCUCCCUUCCUGAGAAUUCAUUCAGCUGCUGACUUGAGAGGUGGCUUAAGCAGCUAUUGUUUCGUUGGAGUGAGUAGGCCAUGGGCUCUGUCGUCUGGUGGCCAGGAUUCAAAUUCCAGCUCUGCAUUGACUCGCUGGUGACCUUGGGAAAGUAACUUAACCUCUCUGAGACUCAGCCUCCCCAUGUUUGAAGUAAUGAUAACAACAACAGUGUUGUUAUGAGGAUUAAACUGUAUCAUCUCUUGGAGAGAAGAAUCUGUUUUAUCCGACGAUGUUUAGCCCACAGUAAGCACUGAGUAAAUAUUUGUUGAAUACAUGCAAAAUGCUUUGCACAGUGUUUAGCACACAGGAGGUUGCAAUAAGUGGAUAGUAUUAUCUUCCUUAUCAUUAUUCUCUGCCUCUCCUCACAUGGAGGAGCUUAUUUUGGCCAUUAUAUCAGGGUACUGGCAGGAAACAGAUGG